ACACCAAAUCACCAACUCUUUUUUUCCCCCUGCUCAUUCUUUAGUGUCUUCCAAUACGACUCACGUGACAACACCUGGACCCAACACAACCACUGAAACCGGUCACACCAGUGACCACGUGACAACACCUUGGUACCCAACACAACCACUGAAACCGGUCACACCAAUGACCACGUGACAACACCUGGACCCAACACAACCACUGAAACCGGUCACACCAGUGACCACGUGACAACACCUGGACCCAACACAACCACUGAAACCGGUCACACCAGUGACCACGUGACAACACCUGGACCCAACACAACCACUGAAACCGGUCACACCAGUGACCACGUGACAACACCUGGAUCCAACACAACCACUGAAACGGGUCACACCAGUGACCACGUGACAACACCUGGACCCAACACAACCACUGAAACCAGUCACACCAGUGACCACGUGACAACACCUGGAUCCAACACAACCAAUGAAACCAGUCCCACCAUCAGCUUCACCACUAGAGAAAACAGUUCAACUGAACCCCACGUCAAUGCCACAACUCCCAGUCCCACCAGUAACACCACAGCAGCCCCACAUGCAACAACCACAGACAGCACCGAACACCUCACUGCAAACGCUUCUGUACCCGUGACGACAGACACCACACACACUGCAGUGGUUUCCCCUGGCAACCACACUCAGGUCAACCCUAUGUCCAACGCAACGACGACUGUGUCCAGGAAAACCAUGACGACAAGGAUUGCAACAGCCAGCAGCUCGUCUGUGUCAGUUUCCCCAGAUAAACCAAUCACGUCAGAGAGCACGACGAUGAGCUUGGCCCCGGCCCUGGUUGGCGGCGGCGGCGGCGGCGUUCCUGGAUGGGGAAUAGCCCUGCUGGUCCUGGCAGCUCUGGUUCUGCUAGUCCUGAUCCUGCUGCUGAUCGGACUGCUGGUGUGGUUGUGCUGCUAUAGGGGGCGCUACAAAGGCUUCAGUCCAUACGACCAUCUGACCAACAGAGACGACAUCCCUCUGUACACCACACACAGCCGCUUCGAGGGGCCCAACGGGAAACCAUACGAAGAGCUGGAUAAGCCGAUGAAGAGCCGGACAGGGAUGUACAAGGUCAACCAAUAACGACGCCUCAUGACUCAUCAACCCAACCAAUAAAGGACAACAUCACUUCUUUUGUUUAUUUGUGUUUUGUUGUUUUUUAAAUUAUAAUCCUGAUCUGACUGAAAAUCAUUUUUAAUAUAGUUUUUAUUUAUUGUCUAUAAGGCAAGAACGACAACAAUGACAAAUAAUACAAGUUUUAUUUUUAUAUAAUGCAAAUUAUAUAACUCAUACAAUGAAAGAUACUAUUUUAUAAAUCAUUAUAUGAUAUUUUGUCCAUUGUAACUGGUAAACGGCUUCAUAUUACAAUACAUUGAUUGCUAUUAUUAUUUUUAGAAGACAUUGUUACUAUCACCAUUUUAGAAUUAUACCAAAAUGAGCCUUUAAUUAAUAUCACACUGUUUCAUAUAAAAGUAUUACUAUUUUUUAAAUAUAUGUUUUCUUUUAAACUCCCAGCUCUGUUAUUUCACCAAUGUAUAUAUAUAUAUAUAUAUAUAUACUCUCUUCCUAAGCCCCGCCCCCUUGUUGCUCUAUCCUCCAAUAACCGGUCAGCUUCCUCCUUUCCUGUACUAAGAUAUGCUAUGCUAUGCUAUGUUGCAAAGACAACCACAUUUUGAAGAUGGCUAAAAGAUAAAAGAGACACAUAUAUCAUCUUAAAUUAGUUAACGUUAGAGAAACAUUAGCUAACUAAGCUACAUCAAUCAUUAAUGUACCAGCUAGCAUUAGGUAUCAGAUGUAACUAGCUAACGAUUGAUGGGAUUUCUUUGUUUAUCUUUUCAACAUAGAUUAGCCUAGCACAUAGCAUAUCGAAGGAAAGUGAAUGACUGCUCGUGUCUUUACAAAUGUCGAAUACCAAAAGAUGCUUUAUAUAGACAUUAUAUCAGUUUAGCUUUAUUUUAAUAUUUUGUUUCUUUUAAAGUUGUUGUGAUAUUGUCACUGUUACUGUUCUGUUCAUUUACAGUUACAUUAAUUAUACCAGUUAUUAUGUAUUAUCUUAAAAACGUUCCAUAUUGAUAUGUAUUGAUCCUAUAAAUGUGUCUAUAAGAGUCCUUCCUUUUAUCAACAUGAAUAUUUGACAUAUUAUUGUCACAGCUGUUAAACAUUACCUGAUAUUUUAUUUCAGAAUUAUUAGAUAUAAACGUUCACUCUGACUUGACACUACGUUUGAUAUAAAACUGCAGUUCUGUGUUUUAUAUUUUGAAGUGUGAGAUUAUUAUUGACACAGGUUUUUAAUAAUUGAUGACAUUCAUGAAACAUCAUGUUUUGUACAUCUCAAACACUUUUUAUAUGUUAUUAUAAGACAUUAGUAUUGAAGUCAUUUCCCACCAAUGUGACAGAAAAAAUGAUUCUGUAAAUUACUGUAAUGAGAAACUUUCUCAAAAUAUUGAUUUUGUAUCUUAAUAAUUUGAUUUACAGAAUCUUUUUUUCCUCACAUUGGCAGAAAAUGGCUUCCAUAAAUAUUAACACUUAUUACAUUGCAAAAAUUAUAUUUUCUGUUUAUAUUUGUUGUGAUAUUAUUAAUGUGUAAAAAAAGAUUUUUUUGACUAAUUGUUAUAUUUCCAUUAAAAAAACAACCCUAACUUGAAAUUUGAUGACUAUAAUUAUAUGUUUUUUAUGUUAAACAGUGAUUUUAUUGCCACUGCUGCUGUGUUAAUAAUCAUAUUUCAUAUACAAUCACAUUAUUUCAGUCUGGCAUCGGCGCCACUGUCCCAGUUUGCUCUGUAUUGUUGUGAAGCAGGAAAAUUCCAGGCUGAAAGUGGAUCCUCAUUGAAUCCUCGUUUUUCAAGUCCAGGUUAUUUUUCAGCUCGGCCACAAAGAGCCUCACAAAGAGGGAAAGCGAAGACGAGGCGUGGUGCGAGGCGGGGCGGUGGAGUAAUUUCUGAAUGUGGGAUAUGAGAUUUAUGGCGCUGAUAUCAACAUAAAGAGACUGGGCUGGGCUCAGUGAGUCACACAGAAACACAAACGUCCCACAUCCUCCUCGCAAACGUUAUUUUAUGUUCAGUUAUUGUUUGUGAAUAAAAUAUCCUCACA
rnacentral:lncRNA from 15 species